rnacentral:rRNA from 1 species
UACAGAGGUCCCAAGCGUUGUUCGGAUUCACUGGGCGUAAAGGGUGCGUAGGCGGUCGGGUAAGUCUGACGUGAAAUCUCCAAGCUCAACUUGGAAAUGGCGUCGGAUACUAUUCGGCUUGAGGAAUGGAGGGGAGACUGGAAUUCUCGGUGUAGCAGUGAAAUGCGUAGAUAUCGAGAGGAACACCAGUGGCGAAGGCGGCUCGCUGGACCUUUUCUGACGCUGAGGCGCGAAAGCUAGGGGAGCAAACGGG